CGUCUCAGUUCGGAUUGUAGUCUGCAACUCGACUACAUAAAGCUGGAAUCGCUAGUAAUCACAGGUCAGCAUACUGUGGUGAAUACGUUCCCGGGCCUUGUACACACCGCCCGUCACACCAUGAGAGUUGAGAAUACCCGAAGUCCAUGUCAAAGUGGCCGAAGGUAGGCUUGAUGAUUGGGGUGAAGUCGUAACAAGGUACC
rnacentral:rRNA from 1 species